CUUUACAGAGACCAGCCCAGAGAAAACACAGGAAGACAUCUCUGGACAGCAGCAGCAGCACACCUGAUCUAUAGAUUCUAAAGGUGGUGAGACUCAUUCAAGAUCUAUAUCGAUGUCCCAUUGGAUCAAGUUCACUGUACUAGUCGCCAUGGCGACCAUCUUCAAUUGUUUUCAUGGAACGGAUGCUUAUCCUAGAGGUUUCCAACAUCUCGCUUUGGUUAAAAGACCGGAAGAUAGAACGUCUUUUCUAAACUACGACCAUGGUUUCGAGGUAGCAGGCCAACCAUCUGGAACCUUUGAGCAUGAAAUACCAAAUGAGUGGACAAUGAGACAAGGACCAAUCGAAGACACCGUCAACUACCUAUCUUUCCUUGACAGACUGGUCAAGAAAACAGCAGAACGACAGGAUUCUGACAGGGAACCAAAACGAGACGGGAAUCGCAACUUUCAAACUCAAGGAUGGCGGCGAUAAAAUCCUAAAAUUCAUUAGUAGAUGACAUUUCAAACAGAUUGAAGCUUUUAAUCUGGAACGUAAAGUCUAAAAAUAAAUUCAUCUCCUAAUUAACAAAUCAUAGUGUAAUACAUCUAAUUUCGUAAUCGUAACAGAAAAUGUAUUGUCUAAGAAAGACUGGUGAAUAAAAAUGUAGUGUUUGAACGAUUCA